CUGGGCACUGCGCCACAAGUGCUUCGUGGGACAGUGUAGAUGCAUCAGUUUUGUGUGUGGUCUGUAAUGGAGAUUUAAUUAUUGAGCGAAUUUUUAAUUUGUCUGUUUUUGUUUCAGAGUGAAUCGCGAAAUCAGUUGCCGAUGGCCUUUUUUGUUGUCAAGCGAGAAGUGUGUUGCUCCAUCUGUAGCCAAAAUCUUUUUCUCGUCAUGGCAGACACGGAGCCCUCGCGCAGCUGCCCCGCUUGUAUCGUCCAGGAUCUGCACCGAGUUGGAGCAUCGUUUGUGCUUGCAUUGUUGAAAGAACAAUGCAAGCGUAUUGCACUUGCCCGUUGGUGUUAGUGUGAGGCAGCAAGUCAUCUGGCUGCGUGUAGUGGCCACCACUACAGUGUGUGCAGUGGCAUCGUGAGAUGUGAGGCAGCGAAUCAUCUGCCCCAGUUUGGUUGCUGCAUGUGGUGGUGCGUGUAGUUAUGUUUCGCCGUCUCUGUGAGGAAGCAAGCGUGUUGCACUUGCCCGUUGGUGGAUUUGUGAGGCAGCAAGUCGUCUGCCCCCAGGUUAGUUGCUGCGUGUAGUGGUGCGUGCGGUGAGCAUCGCUGCCGUCUGUGUGAGUGGGCUGGGCACUGCGCCACAAGUGCUUCGUGGGACAGUGUAGAUGCAUCAGUUUUUGUGUGUGUGAAUCGCGAAAUCAGUUGCCGAUGGCCUUUUUUGUUGUCAAGCGAGAAGUGUGUUGCUCCAUCUGUAGCCA